UUCUGCCCUCGAAAUGAGAAAAUGGAUGUCGUACGAUUUUUGAUGUUGUAAUUAAACACUAAUUUAAAACAUCGAUGAACUCGAAUUUUACCUAUCAUUCAACAUGCCGAAGAGGAGCCAUACCAUAGAGCAAGCAUACGCCUAGUAACCAUAACGUACGUCGAUAACGAUGGAAGAAGUCACCUCCGACUCAUCGUACUCCCAGCCAUGAUCGCACGGGAUUUCAGACCAGGAAGCGUUGGGUGUAAGAUACUCAGCCAUUAGCACCGCCGGAGUUUCCCAUUCGACGUUGUAACGGGUGCAACGGCUGUACGUUUCAUUGUCCCCCUGCCGGGUGACCGUUUAUCAUCGGUACAUGGAAAAAAGGAAAGGAAACAGUUCGCUGUAACGAAAGAGAUGAAUCCCAUUCAACGUUACGAGUAGGGUUUCUGUUGCUGUCGCACCUGAUUAGGGAUGGCAAGAUGCCGUCUCUGAAGAGGAUCGAGUCCCUCUAGUCCAGGUACUUUACACCAGUGCAGAGGAGUUUCAGACAUGAAGAGUUGAUUGAAAGCGCAAAAUCCGCACGGCAAACAUGCUGGUAGGCAAACGAACCAUAGAAGUAGCCGUUGGUAGCGACCAAACUCCCCGACGAUUGGCAACAGAUCGUCAAGGUCGAAUCCAUCCUGUGGGAAAGUUUGUGAGAGAGUCGGAGCAAUUACGACUUACGAGUGUAAUGAUGCCAGGCAAUCGGGCCACCAGAGCGAAUUAAAGUGGUUAAACAUUUUAAAAUGGUAUUUUGGCUAAGAUUACGACUUAUUGAGAAAGAUUAUGGGCGACUUGCAAGAUUCUGUAGGAUACUAGGAAAAUCUGUUAAUGAAAAGUAAUGAUUCUAACGUGAUCUUUACCAUUUACCAACUUGACAUAAGGAACGGCUGAGCAUUGAAAACUGGCCUACAACAAAUUCAGGGACAUUUUGGCACGUAGUUUAUAUUACAUAAGCCUACUAGUUUUACCAAACUAUUUCUUCACACUAGACCACGGGAUGGAGACAAGAGAGAAAAAAUUUCUGCCCGAAUAAACUGAGUGAGAUUUAGAUGCAUACUCACGUCGUCGUCAGCGACCUGAUGUACUUGCCUGUCCUCUGGCCCCGAGUUAUCCUGAACAUUCAUACUGGCAAUGAUGGGGGACUGGUCUCAGGCUACUGAAACCUCAAGGAAGCCUUAGAAAAAGGUCAGGUAACAUGUAUCAAGCCUAGUUCUGUCUCAUACGUGUGACGUACGGGGUAAUGCUAACGAAAACGGUGAUUGUGGCAGCCACAAAUUGUGGAAUUGAGUGAAAAGAUGUCCAAGAGUUUCAGGAAAUAGUGGAACGGUGUCAAACGGCAAUAGGGUGGCGUGCUAAACGAAUGGCAACGAUGACGUAUAAAAAAAUAUCCCACCCUGGGGUGGUUCUUGUAUAAUUGAAUUAGGCUAGAGAUGCUUAAGAGAGAUUAAGGGCACUGCUGACACACGGCAUUAGAGAGGAUUGAUUUCAUGCUCGGCCGUGUAGGCAUAAAUUCGUUCAACCACUCGAUUAUACGCAUUUACAACAUAAUAGCGUACGAUAAAUGGAUUGGCUACCACAAAAUUUAAUCCUAAUUUACCGCACGCAAUUCCUCGUACUAAACUUCUGGGGCAGUGGGCAACCACCCCACACGUAUGGCUGGUUUCCUUCUAUUCAAAAUACUAAUUACAAUAUAAUUCACCCUACAAAAUGCAGUUUGCAUUCAAGGACAGCUCGUCAAGCCGCCAGACUGAAAUCGAUUCGUUGAACAGCAUGGCGAGGGAAUUUUAGAGCUUCAUAUGCAGAUAUUUUACAGGCGAUUCACAAGUCUUAUCAGCAUUAAGAUGCUACAAAAAAGGCUACGGCCUAAACUCUUCAAUAUUCAUGGUUUCUGACGAAUUUGAUUUCAUCCUGGCAUUGCCAAGUUUUUCUACUUCUAGAAAUCUCAAAGGACCUCUGAGUGAUUGUAGCAUUUCAUAUUAUUGAAUGCAAAACUUUUAUUCGUUCUUUCGUAUCAUUUACACCUGCCACGCCACCAUUGAUGCAAUGUAAUUCAUUCAUUUAUUACUCUCACUAUGAAAUUCUUUCAGGCUGCACCCGUGCACAUCAUACAAACUGGAAAUAAUGAUUUAUUCGGAUAAUGUUAGCAAUCUACAGUGAAGUUAUCAAGCUACCUAAACUUGCUUUUGACCAUCAAUACACAUUUUUCAAAUCCUGAAUGAAUACUCACAAAAAAAAAACCUCGAUAGAGAUUUAAUAUACAUAAAAGUGAGACUAUCGGAGCCAAAUUAUCUGCCUUGGCCCGCCAGUUCCAUGGUUUUUUACAUUCGAUCAGUACGCAUACAGUCGUACACUUAAUUGCAGAUGGUACAAAAGUUUACAUCAAUUCAAAACUGUAGAUAUAGCCGUCGAUUGGCAGAAGGCAGAGAAUGCAAAGGGAAAUUUUUUCAUAUCAGUGACUGCAAGGUGAGAACUCUUCUACCUAUAAGUGGUAAUAGUGCUAAAUAGUUGGAUAUAGAUGCAUCGAAAAUUCGAUAGAUGAGACGCCAAUUUCGUAGUGAAAAUGACGCUAUACCUGAAUCAGUUACAUAUUUUUUCUAUGAAUCCAUAUGGGAGACACGUACUGUUCUUCGAUUAUUCACUUGGUGUAUUUUUUCUCUUUUUUUUUGUCUUUAACCCAAUUUAGCAACUGAAAUCACUGAUGAAAAAAGAAACAACUACCCCAGAGUGCCAAAUAUCGCUUUACGACGUAGAAAAGUGCCAUACGAAAUUCAAUUUUAAUAAUAGUAUUGAUAAAGGUAUUGUUGGAGUACACGUGGAAAUAAUUGGUUACUUUCAUAAUCACAGAUGUUUCUGAACGGUUCAAACGAAGACUCAAAUGAUCCAAUAAUAACAAUUGUGAUUUAGGUUUAUUUUUAGUAUGUGACAAUUAAAAACAACACAAAUAUUUCACGACAAGGGCCAAGUUUGCAGAGUCUAUAACAUCAACAAAUGUUACAUCUACUCGUACAGAGUUUGGCAGGUUUCCUGAGCAAUAUUUUGUCUAACGUUAUAUAUUCAUUCUUUUGAAUAAAUAUCAACUACAGUGGGUAAGAGCUACUACAAAGAGAAAACAGGAAGAGGGAUAAAAAAAAAGAUAUAAUAGAUA